UGUGAAAGGACAAAGUUCAGAGCUUGAUAUACACACCCUAUGGUACCAGGCAAUUGGUAAUGGUUUUCCAUUACCCACAUGUACCUCUUUCUUUUCUUUUUCCCUUCUCCUGUUGCCCUUUCUUUAUUUCCUCUUUUACCCUCUUACUCCCUUUAUUCUUUUCCCUUGUUUUCUUCUCCACUGCCUGUGUCUUAGGCCUGCCAGUGACACCCAGGCAUUGCUUAGCCCUGCCCUCCACCCUUCAAGUGGGGAAUGAACACUUGGAUACCUAUGUGCACAAUUAGGUAUGAAUUUCCCUCACAGACUGCAAAGUGCCAGUUUAAAUAGAUCUCACCUGUUAAAGCAAAUCUAUGUUAGACUCACUUCUUCCUGGAAUCAUAGGCUCUAAUAGCAUUUAGAAUGUAAGAAACAGUUUUGGAUGAGAAUACAGUUUGCUGUGGAUAAAUUGAAAAUUGAUUACACUAUAUGUGGAUUGAAGUUUGGUUUUAUUUCAUUCAUCAUCUGUAAUGUUUUACUUAAAUACAAAUUAUAAUGUCAUGCCCAAAGGAAAAUAAUCCUAUGAUAUAAACUGUCAUUGACUUUUAUAAGUGAAUUCUUACUUGAAUUUUUAUUUCAUACUAGGGUACUGAGAUCAUAUAGUACUUUCAUGGGCUUACAGCAAUUUGAAACCCAUGAGAUUUACAGAAACUUAAAACCUCAGUAAAGCAAUUCAGAGAUUUUCUGAACAGGUACGGUGGCUCAUGCCUGUAAUCCCAGCACUUGGGAGGCCGAGGCAGGCGGAUCAUGAGGUCAGGAGUUCGAGACCAGCCUGGUGAAAUCCCGUCUGUACUAAAAAUACAAAAAAAUUACCUGGGCAUGGUGGUGCGCACCUGUACAAUCCCAGCUACUCGAGAGGCUGAGGCAGGAGAAUCACUUGAACCCAGGAGCCGAGAUCGCGCCACUGCCCUCCAGCCUGGGCGAUAGAGUGAGAUUCUCUCAAAAAAAAAAAAAAAAAACUCAAAGAUUUUCAACUGACUUCAUCAUAUUAGUUAAAAUUAAAUGUUACCUGUGGAUUUCAUAUUAGACCUAUAAAUUUGUUAUAGCAAAAAUAAGUUGCUUAUUUAAAAAAGAUAAAUAUUUUCAAGUAAAAUGUAUUUCUUUUAAGGUACCAGUUCUAUAUGACCAUAUUAGAAAUUCAGUUUGGGAUUUUUUUUUUCCUUUUUGGAUGGUGUUCCAGCUUGCCAUAGAAUAAAUGCCAAAAUGUCUGUCUAGACACUAAGAAUUUCAAAUCAAAUGUAUUCUAAUUUUAAAAAGUCUAUAGUCAAGAUUAAUUUUAGUACAUUUCUCUUCAUAAAGCAUUUUUCCCUUAUAUCUACUUAUUCAGUUGAAUUCAGGGAUGUAUUUCUUUUUUAGAAGAUAAAUGAGAAAAUGAGUAUUUAUGUUCUCUAAAACUGAGCACAAGAAAGAAUACCUAGAAUUAUUUGGAAAUAAAACCAUUCUAAAUCUCUUAUAUGUAUUUGGGAAUAAUUUUGCUGCUGUGUACAAAGAAAUAAAAUAUUUUUUAGAUAAGAAACUAAGGAUCAUGUAUUUUGAAACAUUACAUGCCUGUGGUCACUGUUAAGGAAAUUGCUCAGAAAUAAUGUUAACAGUUUAUUUAUAAAAUUAAUGUGAUACUAUAAGCAAUAUUUAAAAAAGUAAUAUCAGAGCUCUAAAGGUAUUUUUAAUAUAAUUAAAGUAUGCAUAAUUACUAGUACAAAAAAAGCCUAUAUCUUUUGAUUUUUAACUUUUUGCUUCAAAAUGCUUAAUAGAAAAACUAGUGAGAUUAGCCAACUCUGGGAGAAACAUGAUACUGCAAUAUGCUGUUCCUCUUAUGAACUGCUGCUUCUACUUAAAAUCUAUUGAUUAUGCAGAAAGCAUGAAAAAUAUAGAAAGAUACUAAAAUGAAAGUCGCUCAUAAUUUGCAUUGCUCAGAAAUAAUAUUAACAGUUUAUUUCCCUCCAAGAUUUUGAUGUGCAUGUAUAAUUUAUUUUAAAAUGGCCAGCAUGUAGUUAUGAGACAUUGGGCUGUUUACUCAUCUGUACAAUGGGGAUAAUAGCACCUUCCUCAUGGUUUGAUUAGGAGGAUGAAUUGAAAAAGUUCCAUAAGGCUGCCACAGUGUGAUGGUGAUGGUGAUGGUGGUGAUAAUGAUGUUGUCAUUAUGAUUAUCGUAAUAUUUAGUAUAGUAUCUUUUUAAAAAAAUUAAUAUGAGCAAUAUAAAAAGAAUAAUGUAUUAUCAGAGCUCUAAAUGCCCUAUGAAAUCAUGAUUUCAGGUGGUUGCGUCAUAUUUUAUCUUAUUUACAAUAUAAUUUAACCACCUCCUUUUUCAUCUUCUUCACAUUAAAGGAGGAAAAGAAAUACCAUGCUUCUUUCCAUUUCCAAAUGAUCUCUUGUCUCCUCACUGACCUCUAGUUAAUUUCUAUAAUAAGUGAUUUCUAUCAUUCAUUCUUAACUUUCUUUAAAACUUCUAAGAAAUGUAAUUUCUUAAGUGGUUUGCCCUAAGCUCUGAAAUUUUUUAUAUUUGGGGUCAGGGAGAGUAAUGACUUCAUAUGCAGAUUUUUAGCUUUUUCUUUAAGAGCAAGGAUUACCCUUAAUACCAGUUAUAAGGAUAAUGUUUUGAGCUAUAACACAUAUGUGGUUUGUGUUUUGACCUUCUUUGAACAAGCUUUCUAAAAUGGUGUUUCAUCAAUAUAAUUAGCAAAUUAAUAUAUCUACUCCAUAGGUAUCUUUGAGUGUCUGUAUCUUUCAUUAAAAUCAUUCUUAUUCAAAAAUUGUUGCUUUUUCAAAUUCUUUUAAUUCACUAAAUGAUAAUUAAGUUUUUACAUCUAUUCUCCUACAAUUCCAUUCCCCCCACUGCAGUGUUUUUUAAUUGUGAAAGAAGCAUGAAAAAGCUAUCUUCUAAUUUUGUCUUUUGAUUUUUAAAAUUGUUAGGAUUUUGAAUGUAAAAUACAUAUAAGUAUUCUAAAAAUGAAACUUUUCUUGACCAAGGAAGAAAUACAUUAAAAGUAGAGAAGUCUGAUUAAGGUUCAUUACAGCAUUAAUUUAGAAAGUAUGGGAAAGACAGGGAAAAAUGUCAGUUUUAAAUAAUUAAAACACUGAAUUAUUAGUACUGCUAGGUCUUUUGCAAGCACUUUAUCAUUAACAUGUGACUUACGUUUUAUUCCAGUUUGUCUGCAUAGCCCAGCAAGAUUACUGCCGUAUUCUCAACCAAGUAGAAAAGAACAUGCAAAAAGUUGAAGAGGAAGGAGAGAUUGUUAUGGUGAAAGAACACCGAGAACUUGAUCGAACUGGAACAAGAAAGGGACACAUUGUCAUCAAGGGUACCUCAGAAAGGUUAACAAUGCAUUUGGUGGAAGAGCAUUCAGUAGUAGAUCCAACAUUCAUAGAAGACUUUCUGUUGACCUAUAGGACUUUUCUUUCUAGCCCAAUGGAAGUGGGCAAAAAGUUAUUGGAGUGGUUUAAUGACCCGAGCCUCAGGGAUAAGGUUGGAAAUAUAUUCUAUUUUGGCUCUUAAAUAUGAAAUGUAAACCUAAAGAUACUUUAAUGUGUAUAUUUGUCACAGCAAUUAUGUCCAGAUUAAUGUAAUGAAAUAGGAGAAUGUAAUUCUUAAGCAAAAAAAAAACAACAAAAA
rnacentral:sRNA from 1 species